GUGGAGCGGACAGAAGGGAGCUUGCUCCCGGAUGUUAGCGGCGGACGGGUGAGUAACACGUGGGUAACCUGCCUGUAAGACUGGGAUAACUCCGGGAAACCGGAGCUAAUACCGGAUAGUUCCUUGAACCGCAUGGUUCAAGGAUGAAAGACGGUUUCGGCAGUCACUUACAGAUGGACCCGCGGCGCAUUAGCUAGUUGGUGAGGUAACGGCUCACCAAGGCGACGAUGCGUAGCCGACCUGAGAGGGUGAUCGGCCACACUGGGACUGAGACACGGCCCAGACUCCUACGGGAGGCAGCAGUAGGGAAUCUUCCGCAAUGGACGAAAGUCUGACGGAGCAACGCCGCGUGAGUGAUGAAGGUUUUCGGAUCGUAAAGCUCUGUUGUUAGGGAAGAACAAGUGCAAGAGUAACUGCUUGCACCUUGACGGUACCUAACCAGAAAGGCACGGCUAACUACGUGCCAGCAGCCGCGGUAAUACGUAGGUGGCAAGCGUUGUCCGGAAUUAUUGGGCGUAAAGGGCUCGCAGGCGGUUUCUUAAGUCUGAUGUGAAAGCCCCCGGCUCAACCGGGGAGGGUCAUUGGAAACUGGGAAACUUGAGUGCAGAAGAGGAGAGUGGAAUUCCACGUGUAGCGGUGAAAUGCGUAGAGAUGUGGAGGAACACCAGUGGCGAAGGCGACUCUCUGGUCUGUAACUGACGCUGAGGAGCGAAAGCGUGGGGAGCGAACAGGAUUAGAUACCCUGGUAGUCCACGCCGUAAACGAUGAGUGCUAAGUGUUAGGGGGUUUCCGCCCCUUACUGCUGCAGCUAACGCAUUAAGCACUCCGCCUGGGGAGUGG
rnacentral:rRNA from 1 species